GGGGAAGUUGGAGCCGUUGGUGAGAUACCACUCUAACAAUGCUAGGAUUCUAACCCUAUACCGUUAUCCGGUUAGGGGACAGUUUCAGGUGGUCAGUUUGACUGGGGCGGUCGCCUCCCAAAAGGUAACGGAGGCGUGCAAAGGUUUCCUCAGGCCGGUCGGAAAUCGGUCGUAGAGUGUAAAGGCAUAAGGAAGCUUGAUUGUGAGACCUAC
rnacentral:rRNA from 1 species